AGUCUUCUGGUUACCAUGUGAACUGCGCACAGUCAUGGUCUCCAGAGGCCCUCCUUAGAGUUACAGAGCUACUCGCAGAACCAUCCUAAUGUUGAGAUUUCAUUUACCUUGAAGUUGGAUGGGUCCCCUCAAGCAGUCAUGGCCCUUUGGGGUCCAUGGGGGUAACCGUCAAUGUCCUUGGCUUGUGUCUGCCCUUAGGCCUGGCUACGGCUGCAAAGGUCUUGGUGUGGGUGAUGGAAGGAGCUGCCUGGCUCCUUUCUCUAUGCCCUUCCAGCUCCAGCCUUGACUUGACAUCUAGCCUUGCCCCUUAUACUCUAGGAUUUGUUCUGACCCCUACAUUUCUACGUGUAAAAAGCUUGCUUUCUUCACAGAGCUUUCCUGCGGUUCUUCUUACCAAGUCAUCUCAGCCAACUGCCUGAAGUUGCUUGAAGUCAACUGCCUGAAACCCUCAUUUGGGCCAGUUUCCUGUGCUCUCAGCUGGAUCAAUAUGCCGGACCUUGGGCUCAGCUUCAGCCUUGGUUCAGGUACUUCUACUCCUCUGGGCCAUUCCCUUCAACCUGCUCUCCAGCUCUUAAAUCCCCCUUUUAAGACGUAGGGUACUUGAGGACAAGCGGUUGGAUGUGGCAACCAGAGAAGGAGUUGGAAUCCUGGAGUGGCCAAGAUCAUUCAGCAGAAGAAAUAGAUUGAGAAAAGAAGAGGGCUCAGGUAGAAUCACUCAAGGAACAAUAACAAGAAAUGGAGGAAGUGAUGGAGUUCAUGAUGACUCAUAGAGAGCUCCCUUCUCCUCCCCCUCCCCUUGAAUUCUGCAAGACAAAUGGUUAGCUCCAAUCUAGAUUGUUCUUGAUGACGACAGAGACCAAAACAUUUCCUUGAACUUCACGCUGGAAUCAUUCACACGGAAAGCUCCUGGGAGCUGAAAUAUAUUCAGAUUCCUGACUCUUUCUCAACGCCCUGCAGAAACCCAGCAAAGACAGGACAAGGUACGACCCUCGAUGCCAGAGCUGGAGAGACGCCAAGACCCAGGGUCCCUCUGAGCUGAGGGACAGGAAGCCCAAGGAGGAGGUUAGGCUAGGAUUCUCAGAACAGGAAGUAGCUUGAAAAUAAAGCCAUCCAUGUUUCCUGCUGUCUCUCUACUCCUCAUCUUGUGCACGAAAUCUAGUUGGCACACUUAUGGAACCAGUUCCCCUUGAGGGUCGAAAGUGGCAAGGAUAUUUCCCAUCUAACGUGAGAUCUGCAUUUUCGUUUCUUCCUUGUUUCUUCACCCGUGCAAAAGAGGAAACUGGGCUCCGCCGUAGGCAGGCUGCUGACUUUUUGUUCAGGAAGCAUGUGCUUGGGCAUCAAUCAUCAGCUCCUGGUGGGGAACAGGCUGGUGUUCACACCGCUGGGUGCAGAGCUCACCCUCGAUGCACGGAAGAUCUCCUUUGAAUCUGGGGACUGGCCGAGGUGUGCUGAAACAGGCUUGUGCCAGUGGAGAGACCUAAUCUGUGUCUCUCCUCUCACCUUCAUGCUCAGUGAUAUUGUGUCGGUAGUUGAGCGCCCACUGACAGCACGUCACUGGAAAUACCCCUUUAAAAAAAUCUCUCAGAGGAACCAGCAGCCUGUGCAAUUAGAAUCUUCUCCAUGCCACUCCCCACCUCUCUGGAAGCUCCGGUGCUAAGUGGGCGCAAAACAAAUGUGAAUUACACAAUCUCUCUGGAAGGGCCCGUUUUCUUUUCAGUUCUCAUCGAUCGCCAUCCCCUUAUCAGGAUUUCUGGUAGACUUCACUGACUGCAGAACCACAGUUCCCCUGCCAUGUUCUUUUCAUUACGUU